AAUGGUGUAGUCAAUAGGUAAGGAAAUAUUAAAUAAAUUGAAGAUUAAUAAUUAAAAACAUAUACAUUAAUAAAAUUGAAUUUAAUUGCCAUGAAGUCAGAUUUACUUUUCUAACAUUUUUUAAAAAACAGAUUUAACAAUUGUCCCUUUUUAGAUUCUGAAUGGAGCGAAGGAGUUUAUGAUUUUAUAAAGAUGUUUUUUUUUUAUUUGUAAACAACUUUUCUACCAGAAGACUUGCUCGGAUUUCUAAGUUUAGUACUUUUUCUGAAAGGUAAUCGUUGUGGGAAGGUACUUUAAGGAGGUCAUUUUUGGAUUUUCUCAUGAAAUUUG